rnacentral:lncRNA from 1 species
CACAGAGCCCACCUAGAAGAGCACAGAGGCAGGGCUUUAGAUCAGGUAGGCCCAAGAGGAACCGUGGCGACAGACCUGCUCUCGGGGACAAAGCUGCCAGGAAGGACAGAUGGGUCACUGGGUACUUGGAGAUGAGUAAGAUGGCCGCAGAGCGUGGACGAGGACGGGAGGCCUGAAGGACAGAGCCAGUUAGAGGGUGGGGACCUGGAAACUGUUGAGAGCAAAGCGAGUGGCACUGCAAAGAAUGCACUGAGUAGAGUUCUCAUCCCUGGAGUAGCCACCAAUUUGGUCAGAAUUUCCCAGGAAGAAGCCUGUAAAUCAGAAAUCAGAGGUUUUCAACCUUGGCUCCACACAUCAGAAUCACCUGUGGAUCUUUUAAAAAACCAAAACAGUAACAAAAACCCCACCCCGAGUGCCCUGGCUGUGCCUCCAGACGGUUAUGCUAAUUGGCUGGGUGGGACCCCAGAAGUGGCAUUAUUAAACUUCUCUAAGUGAUUGUAAUCUGAA